rnacentral:rRNA from 1 species
CCUACGGGUGACAGCAGUCGAGAAUCAUUCACAAUGGGGGAAACCCUGAUGGUGCGACGCCGCGUGGGGGAAUGAAGGUCUUCGGAUUGUAAACCCCUGUCAUGUGGGAGCAAAUUAAAAAGAUAGUACCACAAGAGGAAGAGACGGCUAACUCUGUGCCAGCAGCCGCGGUAAUACAGAGGGCUCAAGCGUUGUUCGGAAUCACUGGGCGUAAAGGGUUCGGAGGCUGUUUCGUAAGUCGUGUGUGAAAGGCGCGGGCUCAACCCGCGGACGGCACAUGAUACUGCGAGACUAGAGUAAUGGAGGGGGAACCGGAAUUCUCGGUGUAGCAGUGAAAUGCGUAGAUAUCGAGAGGAACACUCGUGGCGAAGGCGGGUUCCUGGACAUUAACUGACGCUGAGGCACGAAGGCCAGGGGAGCGAAAGGGAUUAGAUACCCUAGUAGUC